GUAUGGGAACUCAAACAUGCCAAAGGGU
rnacentral:piRNA from 1 species